rnacentral:rRNA from 1 species
CACGUAAGGUGCGAGCGUUGUUCGGAAUUAUUGGGCGUAAAGGGCAUGUAGGCGGUCAGGUAAGUCGGGCGUGAAAUGAGUGGGCUCAACCCAAUCGCUGCGCCCGAUACUGCUUGACUUGAGUCAGUGAGGCGUGACCGGAAUUCCUGGUGUAGGGGUGAAAUCUGUAGAUAUCAGGAAGAACACCGGUGGCGAAGGCAGGUCGCGAGCACAUGACUGACGCUGAGGUGCGAAGGUGCGGGGAGCAAAC